rnacentral:rRNA from 1 species
CGCCCCUUGCCAUCACAAGGGGUCUCACCUGCACAAUGUCCUAAGGGAUCAAUUGCCGCGGUAGCCUGACCGUGCUAAGGUAGCGUAAUCAUUAGCCUAUUAAUUGUUGGCCUGUAUGAAUGGUUGAACGCUGAUAAAACUGUCUCUGCGAUACUUCCUCGAAUUUAACCUUAAGGUGAAAAGGCCUUAAUACAACUGAAAGACGAUAAGACCCUAUCGAACUUUAGGUGACCCUCAGAUACUUAGCUGAAGGAAAACCUUUGGUUGGGAAAACCGGGGACCAAACAAAGCGUCCACCCUUCCACACACUAAAGCUUUUAGAAAAGCCUUUCAGCAAAACAAACCUAACAUGGUAAGUCUCAUUCUUCUUCCAACCCAAAGAAAUUGAUAAAUUCAACAGCUUAGAAAAGGGAAAAGUUACCGUAGGGAUAACAGCGUAAUCCUUCCGGAGAGACCACAUUAAAGGAAGGGGUUGCGACCUCGAUGUUGGCUUAAGGCCCCCAAGAAGUGCAGGAGCUUCUAACGGUUGGUCUGUUCGACCAUUAAAGCCUUACGU